AGAGUUUGAUCCUGGCUCAGAUUGAACGCUGGCGGCAUGCCUUACACAUGCAAGUCGAACGGCAGCACGGGGCAACCUGGUGGCGAGUGGCGAACGGGUGAGUAAUGCACCGGAACGUAUCCAAUAAUGGGGGAUAACGCACCGAAAGGUGUGCUAAUACCGCAUACGCCCUGAGGGGGAAAGCGGGGGAUCGUAAGACCUCGCGUUAAUGGAGCGGCCGAUGCCGGAUUAGCUAGUUGGUGAGGUAAAGGCUCACCAAGGCGACGAUCCGUAGCUGGUCUGAGAGGACGACCAGCCACACUGGAACUGAGACACGGUCCAGACUCCUACGGGAGGCAGCAGUAGGGAAUAUUGGGCAAUGGACGGAAGUCUGACCCAGCCACGCCGCGUGCAGGAGGAAGGCGCUCUGCGUUGUAAACUGCUUUAGCAGGGGAAGAAAAGACUCAUGCGUGAGGAAUUGACGGUACCCUGAGAAUAAGCACCGGCUAACUACGUG
rnacentral:rRNA from 1 species